GAUGAACGCUGGCGGCGUGCCUAAUACAUGCAAGUCGAGCGAAUGGAUGAGAGCUUGCUCUCAGAAGUUAGCGGCGGACGGGUGAGUAACACGUGGGUAACCUGCCCUUAAGACUGGGACAACAUCGAGAAAUCGGUGCUAAUACCGGAUAAUCUAUUUGACCGCAUGGUCGAAUAAUGAAAGGUGGCGUAAGCUACCACUUAUGGAUGGACCCGCGGCGUAUUAGCUAGUUGGUGAGGUAAUGGCUCACCAAGGCAACGAUACGUAGCCGACCUGAGGGGGUGAUCGGCCACACUGGGACUGAGACACGGCCCAGACUCGUACGGGAGGCAGCAGUAGGGAAUCUUCCGCAAUGGACGAAAGUCUGACGGAGCAACGCCGCGUGAGUGAUGAAGGCUUUCGGGUCGUAAAACUCUGUUGUUAGGGAAGAACAAGUACCGUUCGAAUAGGGCGGUACCUUGACGGUACCUAACCAGAAAGCCACGGCUAACUACGUGCCAGCCGCCGCCGUAA
rnacentral:rRNA from 1 species